CUCAAUAUGUGGGCUCAAUAACCCUCUUAAGGUGUGCCCCAUAAUUAUGUGGGCCCAUAACACCCUCUUGAAUGGAUACUUCACUUCAACUCAAGCUCUCAUUUGUAUUAUCUCAUCUUGUGAUCUUGAUCUAAAAUAAAAAUGUUAUAACCGUAAUGACAAUUAAUUUUGGCAUUUUCUCUUGUGAUUAGCAAUUUUCUCCUAGGUGCACUUGUGCUUGUGUUUUGCACUUUCUCUAGUGCACUUAUGAGGAUGCUAUUUCAAAAUUUGAGUGAAAUUUGGUUCUAUCAGUUCUUAUAUUGACCCUUAUAAAUAUCAACAUCGGAUCAUACUAUGUGUGAACCUUGCUUGAACCAAAAUUAUUCGCUAAGGGCAUCAUACCUUAUGGUAUCGAACUAGGGUUUUUUUCGAUCAUCAUUUCCUACAAUUUCUCUACGGGUUCUAAAAGUAUAUACCCUAAAUUAUUUUUCAAAUCUUAUAAAUGUUUUCUAGCACCUAAUGAAUCCAUCUUACAAUGCACAUCUAACUAUGCACUUUGCAUAUUGGUCCUCCACCACUUCAAGGAAUGUAUUGCCACCUUUAGACCUACAAUGCAUAUAACAAAACACAAACAACUUCUCUCUGAUUGUCGACAUCAGCAAAGUGGCAAGGAGGUGAUUACUAGUGAUAACUCAGCUCUAAUUGUUUCUAAAUGUGAUGGUGUACUCAUUGGCAUUAUCAAAUCUGGGGAAACCAGUAUUCCAAGAGUAGGGCCCAAUCUUCUAUCUUUUUACCACAGCAUUCACACCAAUCCAAAGGUGGAAUUAUUGCUAGGUGAAAUAUCCAUGCAAUUAAAAUGAUAGAGCACCUAGUAGAGGUUCGCCUAGAAAACUAUACCAUAUAACUACCUUAACCACCCAACAAAUAAUCUAAUAUCUCCAUGUGAAGUGCAACUAGAAAGGAAGUGCCAAGGUGGUUAGACCACAUCAAUAUCAUACCAAAACCAUGCAUUGUUUCAUAUACCAUCCAUUGAUUUCCCAUUAAGCCAUGUGCGCCUUGGGAGAAUAUGUCAACCUCUCCAAUGAUAAAUAAUCAUGAAUGCCUUGGAAAUUGUGCCCAAGAGGGAAGCACUCCAUAAUAAAGCCUCAAAUAACCUCCAAUUGACCCCUCCAAGUCCAAAUAGCUACCAAAUGAAGUGCUUAAGCAAUUAACUUCCAAGGUAAUCAAAAGGAUUAAUUUAACUCCUAAAUAGUUAAAUCAACUUCAAUAAAUGUGCAUAAAGUAUAAUGUUGAAAAAAAACCACAAUCAAACCUCCCAAUAGUCACAAUUGAAUAAAUCAACAUGAACAUGUGCGCCAGUGAAGGGGGUUGCACUCCAGCAAGUGUUGUACCAUGGAAACAAUAUGCAUCUCACAUAAAUACCACCAUGAUAACAACACAAUCACAAAAUAGAAGUUCCAAUUAGGUUUGAGCCUAGGGUGCACCACCAAAGGAUUAUGACAUGAUAAAACCUCGGGAAACCAUAGAAAAGGCUUCAUCACCAACAAGAUAUGUAGUACCUUCAAAAGAACAAUGUAGGUAAGGGAAGUCGGCAAAACGGAUCCGUAACUUCAGGAAAAGGAUUGGCUUUGAGGGCUGGCCCUAGGGGUUUGCGCCCUCAACUCGUGGGUUGUCGCUAGUCUGCCCGAGCUGCUCUCGCAGCGAAGGCAGGCAAUCAUGUGCUGAUUGGACUAUGGCCAUAGAAUGCCCCCUACUGGGGGCUUUUCCCUAGGCAGCGAACAGUCAACUCAAAACUGGUAUGAACAAGGGGAAUCCAACUGUUUAAUCAAAACAAAGCAUUGCGAUGGUCCCUGCGGAUGCUAACACAAUGUGAUUUCUGCCUAGUGCUCUGAAUGUCAAAGUGAAAAAAUUCAACCAAGUGUGAGUAAACGACGGAAGUAACUAUGACUCUAUUAAGGUAGCCAAAUGCCUCGUCAUCUAAUUAGUGACGCGCAUGAAUGGAUUAACGAGAUUCCCACUAUCCCUAUCUACUAUCUAGUGAAACCACAAUCAAGGGAACAGGGUUGGCAGAAUCAACGGGGAAAGAAGACCCUGUUGAGCUUGACUCUAGUCCGACUUUGUGAAAUGACUUGAGAGGUGUAGAAUAAGUGGGAGCCGUUUUCGGCGCAAGUGAAAUACCACUACUUUUAACGUUAUUUUACUUAUUCCGUGGGGCGGAGACAGGGCACUGCCCUUGUUUUUUGCCUUAAGGAAAGUUUUGGCGGGUUGAUCCAGGUGGAAGACAUUGUCAGGUGGGGAGUUUGGCUAGGGCAGCACAUCUGAUAAAAGAUAAUGCAGGUGUCCUAAGAUGAGCUCAACGAGAAAAUCUCGUGUGGAACAAAAGGGUAAAAGCUCAUUUGGUUUUGAUUUUCAGUACGAAUAGAAACCGUGGAAGUGUGACCUAUCGAUCCUUUAGAUUUUCGGAAUUUGAAGCUAGAGGUGUCAAAAAAGUUACCACGGGGAUAAUUGGCUUGUGGCAGCCAAGCGUUCAUAGCGACAUUCCUUUUUGAUCCUUUGAUGUCGGCUUUUCCUAUCAUUGUGAAGCAGAAUUCACCAAGUGUUGGAUUGCUCACCCACCAAUGGGGAAUGUGAGCUAGGUUUAGACCGUUGUGAGACAAGUUAGUUUUACCCUACUAAUGAACCGCACCGCAAUAGUAAUACAACUUAGUACAAGAGGAACUGUUGAAUCACACAAUUGGUCAUCGCGCUUGCUUGAAAAGCCAGUGGCUCGAAGCUACCAUGUGUCAGAUUAUGAUUGAACGCCUCUAAGUUGAUUACAUCCCUCCCCAUCUGACUCAAACUUAGAAAAAAAGUAAAUCAACAAAGUUAUUGUUAAUUUUGGUAGCUCAGCAACAAAUUCCAACCAUGGGACUAGAUUCCUCGUUUCGAGAUGACCAAUUUUGACUAUUAAAGCACUCAAAUCAGAUAA
rnacentral:rRNA from 1 species